rnacentral:tRNA from 1 species
AGCAGUUGCUAGCUCAGUGGUAAGAGUGCAUGCUUUGGUAUGUGUAAUGUCCUGGGUUCAAAUCCCAGCUGCUG